UAGAGGGCUGGAAUCUGGGUUUGUGCUGUUCUCAGCAUCCUGAGGACUAGAAAGCUUCAACUCCACUCAAAGUGAAAUCAUAAUCUUCUGAAAGAAUUUUGGACAUAAACUAGGGUAAACUUGGAUAACAAGAAUCAGCCCUUGUGAGAUUGAUUGGAGCUGGGAGAGAUGUGUUAGAAAGAUAUUGCAAGAAUCCAGAGAACAGGCAGUGAGGGUCUUUGCAGGCACAGAGGCAGGGAGAAAGCAAUUGUAUUAUUGAAUCUAAGAUUUUAGAGCUAAACAGACACUAUGGGCCAUAUAGCACAAAAUAUCCUCAUUUUAUAGAACAAAGGGGCCC
rnacentral:lncRNA from 1 species